AAAACAUGGCUUUUUGAUUAUAAUUUAAAGUNUGGCCUGCCCAAUGAGUAUUUAAAUGGCCGCGGUAUUUUGACCGUGCAAAGGUAGCAUAAUCAUUAGUUUUUUAAUUGAAAGCUGGAAUGAAAGGUUGGAUGAGAAAAUAACUGUCUCUGAUUAAAUUUUUUAGAAUUUUAUUUUUAAGUAAAAAAGCUUAAAUGAAAAUAGAAGACGAGAAGACCCUAUAGAGUUUUAUUAAAAUUUUUUUGUAAAAGUAAUGGAAUUUAUUUUUUUAUAUAAAGUUUUAAUUUGGUUGGGGUGAUCGAAAAAUUUAAUAAACUUUUUUUUUAUAAAAACAUUAAUUUAUGAAUAUUUGAUCCUUUUUUUAAGAUUAUAAGAUUAAAUUACCUUAGGGAUAACAGCGUAAUUUUUUUUAAGAGUUCAAAUCGAAAGAAAAGUUUGCGACCUCGAUGUUGGAUUAAAAUAAAAUUUUGGUGUAGAAGCUAAAAUAUUUAGGUCUGUUCGACCUUUAAAAUUUUACUUGAUCUGA
rnacentral:rRNA from 1 species